rnacentral:rRNA from 1 species
GAUCUCCCACCCUAUGUUAUCGUUGUCUUUGUUGCUUUGGCGGGCCGCUAGGCUUCGGCCAGGCUACCGGCUCCAGCUGGUACGCGCCCGCCAGAGGACCCUAAACUCUUGAAUAUUAGCGUUGUCUGAGUACUAUGUAAUAGUUAAAACUUUCAACAACGGAUCUCUUGGUUCUGGCAUCGAUGAAGAACGCAGCGAAAUGCGAUAAGUAAUGUGAAUUGCAGAAUUCAGUGAAUCAUCGAAUCUUUGAACGCACAUUGCGCCCCUUGGUAUUCCGGGGGGCAUGCCUGUUCGAGCGUCAUUACAACCCUCAAGCCUGGCUUGGUAUUGGGCUUCGCCGUUUGGGCGGGCCUUAAAAUCAGUGGCGGGUGCCGUCGAGGCCCUAAGCGUAGUAAAAUAUCCUCGCUAUAGGGACCGGCGAACACUGGGCUAUAACCCCCAUUUCUCUAAGUUUGANCCCGGAUCAGGUAGGGAAUACCCGGCUGAACUUAAGCAUAUUCAAUUAAGCGGAGGGAAA